AAAUGCACUCUGGCAUUCACACAGGCACACACUCUGAUGGUUCCCACUUGAAAUUGCUCAUCAAGUGCAAAUAGCUCCCAGCCUGGAUGGCUGAGCUGCUCUCCAGCCUCCUCUCUCUGGAGUAAGAAGAUUUCAGCUUGUGACCUGCCCUCGGGACUUGUGGGUGUACAAAGCCUGUGACCCAGGAAACAAAGUCAACGGCUCACUUUGUCCCCACCCCACCCUACCCCGUCUCCCUCCUACUAAAUGCUGAAUCUCACGAGAGAAGAAAACCAGCCACAUAAAGGAUUUGAAAGCUCAACUUGCUUUCCCACUCUGUUAUCCCUGGAGUUGGCUUGGAUUCACCCUGAAGCCUUCCCCCUCCCGGGGAAAGUUGCUUCACGUUGCAGCUCAGCAGGUUUGUCCAGCUACAUAGGCUCCAGAAAACAAGAAGCAAGACUGGAAAGCUGGGGAUGAUUGUACGCCCUCGCCUGAAUCUUACGUGGUUCCUCCUUCUUCCACCUGGCCAGUGCAGAGCCGUGGGUGCCACGUGGCCACUUCUGGAUUGGGUUCCCCUUGGCCUGCCACCCUGUCCUUCUGCUUUCCCACUUUGCCAGCCAGAGUCAAUUUGAGGACGCCAAGUUCUCCUCUCCAUACAGAGCUCCUGGUCUCCUUGUAACUUGUAACUCCUGGGCACAGUUACAAGUGCUGAAUUCUUGCGAGGAUGAACUCAAGAUACAAAAUAUGCUUGGCAACUCACCCCUGAGUGGCCACAGGCACACGCAGGAGUCGAACCCACCCACCUCUGCUGACAGUCAUGGGUCAAGCUCAAAGUCCUGGCUGCUUCUCUGCUCAAGAUCUGUGCCCGCAGAGAGAGCCUGCUCCAGCCUCUUUGCUACAGCCUUGAGUCUUCUGCUGAAGCUGUGGAGACUACCAAAUGGACUCGUCUAGAUUUCACAUGCAACGUGGCUCUGCCUUCCCUGAGCACUCUGGGCCUUUCCAUGGAGACAGAAUGAAUAGAUAAUGAGCAUGGUCUAAUAAACAGAGAAGGCUCAGGAGGGUCAGAAACACGGUGCCUCAUUUCUCAGCCUACUUGCCAAGAAUUCCCAAAAAGGAAGCACUGGAGGAUCAUUCCAAGGCUUGAGGUCCAGGACUACCCACUUCCCUUGGAAUGGUGUUGCCAUCACUGUUCUGGCACCGGAGAAAGGAUUCUACAUCGUUAGGAGAAAAGAAAAAGGAGAAUUUGGGCUUGCACUGAGAGGAUUACCUUUGGUGGUCUGGAAGUGGUGGGGUUGCAGCAUUGAAGGCACCAUCUUGGAAGCAGAGACUAGACCCUCACCAAGCAAUUAACAUGCUGGUGCAUUGAUCUUGGACUUUCCAGCCUCCAGAACUACUUUUAAGGCAGAAUCUCAAUUCAUCUCUUCUAUGAAACUUUCAUGAUUCAAAGGGAAGUCCCUGCAUGGACACUGCCAGCUUCAUUGCACUUCUGCCUCUAUGCUUUUUCCUGAACCUUCUCCACCUCUGGAACGUACUUCAGGCUGCACAGGGAGCAUGGCUGGGAGGCCUCAGGAAACUGACAAUCAUCAGUAGAAGAUGAAGAGGAAGGAGGCGCAUCUUACAUGGCCAGAGAAGGAGGAAGAAUAAGAAGGGAUUCUCCAGCUGGAGCCCUAUAAAUUGGACUGACAAAAGACAGAUUAGCAAGAGAAAUGCAAGCAGCAGUUUAUUAACAUGUGCAUCAUGAUUACACAUGGAAGUACCCAGAGGUCAUAAGACCUCAUGUGACAAGUGCCCUCCUUACUCCCAGAGAAAAGGAAGGAAGACACAGAAACACCACGAAGAAUAUGGACAAACAGACCUUGCUAAGUUCCCCCCCAUUUAUUACCAUGACAUCAUACUCCCUUUGUCCAAUCACACUUUCAUCAAACCUGAGCAUGAAAAUACACAGGUUUCUCUGUUUGGGGGGUGGGUCUUCAUUUUUGAAGUUUCCAUGUCAUGUAAAACUUAUAUUAAAGAAAUGUGUAUGUUUUACCCUUGUUAAUUU
rnacentral:lncRNA from 10 species